rnacentral:rRNA from 1 species
AUGAACGCUGGCGGCGUGCCUAAUACAUGCAAGUCGAGCGAACAGAUGAGGAGCUUGCUCCUCUGACGUUAGCGGCGGACGGGUGAGUAACACGUGGAUAACCUACCUAUAAGACUGGGAUAACUUCGGGAAACCGGAGCUAAUACCGGAUAAUAUAUUGAACCUCAUGGUUCAAUAGUGAAAGACGGUUUUGCUGUCACUUAUAGAUGGAUCCGCGCCGCAUUAGCUAGUUGGUAAGGUAACGGCUUACCAAGGCGACGAUGCGUAGCCGACCUGAGAGGGUGAUCGGCCACACUGGAACUGAGACACGGUCCAGACUCCUACGGGAGGCAGCAGUAGGGAAUCUUCCGCAAUGGGCGAAAGCUUGACGGAGCAACGCCGCGUGAGUGAUGAAGGUCUUCGGAUCGUAAAACUCUGUUAUUAGGGAAGAACAAAUGUGUAAGUAACUAUGCACGUCUUGACGGUACCUAAUCAGAAAGCCACGGCUAACUACGUG